UGACGUCGUUAUUCACCGGAAGUGUGCCCUUCUGGUUUCUUUCCCCCUCACAGUGCGCAGAUGCGGAUGUGACGUCGUUAGGGUCGCUUUUCGUUUCCAGCGGUUAACCUAGCCAACCUGGGAGACAGGCAUGUGGAAGACCCGUUAAUGUCCACGAGAGUGGCGAUUUAGCGAGUUCAUUCUUAAUAAAAACAACAACAACCGUAAACUGGUCUAAUCCCACCCCGGGGUUCCGUUCCAGGCGGUGGGUUUCGUCUGACUCGGUGAUCGGGAGAAGGCAAGGAGAAAUGUCGCACCAUUCAUCCUCCCGUAGUUCGUCCCGGGCCACCGACUGUAAAGUGUACGUGGGAGACUUGGGCAACGGUGCCGCCAAGGGGGAGCUGGAGAGGGCGUUCAGUUAUUAUGGCCCGCUGAGAACCGUCUGGGUGGCCAGGAACCCACCUGGGUUCGCCUUUGUGGAGUUUGAGGAUCCCAGAGAUGCAGAAGAUGCAGUGAAGGGCAUGGAUGGAAAGCUCCUCUGUGGUUCCCGUGUUCGUGUGGAGUUGUCAACCGGCCUCUCCAGGAAGGGUCGGGGGCGCCCCAGCCGGCGCCAGUUUGACCCAAGCGAUCGGUGCUAUCAGUGCGGAGACCGGGGCCACUACGCCUACGACUGCUACCGCUUUAGCAAGAGAGGAGGAGGAGGAGGAGGAGGAGGAGGCCGUCGCAGCAGGUCCCGCUCUCGUUCCCGCUCUCGGUCCAGGUCCAGGUCCCGUGGACGCCGCUAUCGCUCUCGGUCUCACUCCCGCAGCCGCAGCCACAGCCGGAGCCGUCGUCGUUCUCCAUCCUAUACCAGACGCAGGAGCAGGUCCGGCUCCCCGGCACGCUCAAAGUCCAGGACUCCAGUGAGAAGUCGUUCCAGGUCUCGGUCUGGCUCUGCGCCCAGGGGACGCUCUCCGCCCAGGGGACGCUCUCCGCCCAGAGGGCGUUCUCCGCCCAGGGGACGCUCUCCACCAAGAGGGCGUUCUCCACCCAGGGGACGCUCUCCGCCCAGAGGACGCUCUGCCUCCCGUUCCCGAUCCCGUUCCCCGGCGCCCAAUCACAAGAGGAACAGCGUGUGGUGGGAGCUGAGCACUGCACUGACACCACAGCUGACACCAGGCCCAGGGUCUGCCAGCUGGCGGUGUGUACGUCCUGCGGGAGGGUGACUAAGCGCUGACCUGAGAUCAGCCUUCGUCUGCAUCCGGUGUUAGACAGCGAGAAAGAGGUCGACCUACCGACCGAACCCUCCCACACAGUGAAUGGGCGACCCCGUCUGUUCGACCGACGCACACGCUCAGACGAGACCCGCCCUCGCACACAUACAGUAGCUCUGCUAGAGUCACCCAGCCAGCCAGCCAGCCUUCAGACGUACCAGAGGGCCGACCCACACAGAUCAGAGCUCGACCACUACCGUUAUAAAUCCAUUACCUACCUACCAGACCCCCUACCUACCAGAGUUCUUCGGCCUCUGUCUUAGCUUCUGAAAGUGAGAGAAAGAGAGCUGACGAGAGAUCAGACUUCAAGAGCCUUCGCAGCGCAGUGUCUCUCCAAGUUGUAGUCAUCCGUCCUACAGUCCUUUCAUCCUUCGCUUCUCUGUACUUGUUGUUUCUGCCACUGUCUCCAAAGUCGCUCCCGUUCAGCAAGUCAACACCGAAGCCCUACGCCAGCAGACGACUGAGUGAAGAAGACUAGUUAGUUUCUUAACAGACAGACCCUGAGCCCCCCUGCACCCUGUCUGCUUUUACAGCCCUGCAGCAGCUUUUUGGUUUUUUUUACCUGUCCGUCUAGUCCCAAACGUUUUUGUUUUUUUAGUAAAAUUUUCUCCCUGUGACUGUAGUCUUCGUGCAGCCUCAGAUUGAAGAUUUAGUCAGUAUAGCAGACAAAAAUCAGUUUCCCAUUUGAUAGAUUGUUUUAGGUGCUGCAUGUCUCAUCUUUCUUCUUUCAAGUCACGUAGCACGUGUAAGGAGAAACAACAAAGCUGAAUGUUGCUGUUGACUUUAAGCAGCGAUUAGAGCAGCUUGUACAGCAAAUUUUCAGUGGGAGAUAGGCCCAGUCGAUGCGGUUCUUGAGGGUGAAAAUGCUGCAUCGAAAAACAUUUUAAUCCCUAAAAUUUCUAAACCUCCAAAAUAUUUUUGCCCCAUUGAGAAUGGGCAAUACGAUCACAUUUUUUUUUUGGUUUCGCGCUCCAAUUUGAUGAGAUCAAAUGCUGUUCAAGGUCUCCACUAUGGGAUGGCAUAAGGAGGUAGUUGAUGGCCUGCAUGCCUUUAAAUACGAAGUCACAUUCCUACUGUUUGUUGUUUCUGUGCUGCACUGCCCCUUUUUAUGAACCUGUUCACUGCGUGCUGAAUAGAUUUCCCCCUUGUGUUGAUCUCUGAUUUGUUCCCAUGUCUUUUUAAUUUGAAGAUAUUAUACAGUGCUGAAGUUUAAUUUCUGUAAGGGCUGCUUUAACAGUUGUGUUAUGUUCCUGGCUUAUAUUGUAAGACAGUGGCAGUUUUAUUUUUGAAUAAACCUCUUCAACAUACCCCGGUCAUCUUAUUUUAUUUCACUCAAACAAGUUUAUUUGUACUUGUUCUCAUAAUUUCUUUUGAUAUGUUUUGGGAAAGAUGUCACGAUAUCCGCAGUUUUGGGUUAGAUAUUUUUAUAGUGGUGUUCUAGAUGUAUAUGUCAUUUUUUACUGUUCUGUGCAGUCUGAAAGAGU